rnacentral:lncRNA from 1 species
GCGGAGAAGAGAAAUGGACCUCAAUUAGCCGAAAAAUUGAUUGUUUCACUGUUUUGAACACAAAAAUAUAACGAACCGCGGACGAAAACUCGAAUCCGCCUUGGAAAGCCCGAAACCAAAACGAACUCAAUCAAACUCAACAUAUUCAACACUGAAAAUCAAAAACAGAAGCUUGGACAAUCUUUAUUUAAUCGAACGGGAGUGAAAUCACAAAUGGGCUAAGAAAACUCGAAAACUCAUGACAAGCAGAACCAGCAACUAAAGAAUUCGACGACGACCUCGAGACUCCGAUACCCAGAUCCGGACAGAUUUGACAAACGAGCUCUUAAAGAGACUCAAACUAGCGAAGUUCCGGCGACGAACUGGAAGGUCAGACAGCCAAACAGUAGCAAAAAGGUUGUUCCACCAUUGAAGUGUCUAGGUUCUAUUCUUGUCCUCUUGGGAGUCUGGGUUCAAGUUACAUUCUCCAUUGAAAGAGCUUUAGAAAAUAUGGUUGAAUAGGUCUAUUUCAGGUGAGUUUGGGUUGAAGACAAAGGUGACGGCUAUGGUAUUUUGGUUCUCUCUUGUCUUGUGUGCUAGGGUUUAGGUC